rnacentral:rRNA from 1 species
UACGGAGGGUGCAAGCGUUGUUCGGAAUUACUGGGCGUAAAGCGCGUGCAGGCGGCCGAUUAAGUCCGGUGUGAAAGCCCGGGGCUCACCCCCGGAAGUGCGCUGGAAACUGAUCGGCUAGAGUACGGGAGAGGGAAGCGGAAUUCCUGGUGUAGCGGUGAAAUGCGUAGAUAUCAGGAGGAACACCGGCGGCGAAGGCGGCUUCCUGGACCGAUACUGACGCUGAGACGCGAAAGCGUGGGGAGCAAACAGG